rnacentral:rRNA from 1 species
GAGGUCAAGCAAAUCCCAUAAAGUUGUUCUCAGUUCGGAUUGUAGUCUGCAACUCGACUACAUGAAGCUGGAAUCGCUAGUAAUCGUAGAUCAGCAUGCUACGGUGAAUACGUUCUCGGGUCUUGUACACACCGCCCGUCACACCACGAGAGUUUGUAACACCCGAAGCCGGUGGAGUAACCUUUUAGGAGCUAGCCGUCGAAGGUGGGACAAAUGAUUGGGGUGAAGUCGUAACAAGGUAGCCGUAUCGGAAGGUGCGGCUGGAUCACCUCCUUU